CACAUAAAUUAAGUUUCGACCUUUAGUCAGAGGCCAAUGUGUGUGUGUGUGUAUCAAUAAUCAAAACAUAAAGACAAGAUACAAGACAAGAUACAUUGAUGGAUGGAUGUAUUGCAUUGGUGUAAAAAACCGUUUGUGUUUCCGAAUGAUUUUUUUUUUUUGGUCGUUGAUAUUGAUCAAAAAUGAAUUUUUUUUUUGGAUUUCAUUGCAAAAACGAAACAAAAAUUUAUCACAAACACACUCAGUUAUCUAAUGCUAACAACAACGGAAAACAACCAAUCAACCAACCAACCAAUAUCAAGAUAUCAUCAUCAUCAUCAUCAUCAUCAUCAUCGUCGUCAUUUAAGUUGAUCGAUUCGAUCAUCACCAGGAGAUUUUUUUUUGUUGCAUUUUUUUCAAUUUAACAUUUUUUUUUCUUCUUCAAAGUCGUGGGAAAGUUUGGUGGAUAUGAAAAAAAAUACAAACCAAAGAUAAGUGGACAAAACAUGUAAGCAAGUUACAAGUCUUGAAUGUUUUUCCAAAAAAAAAAAAUGACGACGAUGAUGAUGACUGCCUAUUGAUUUUGGGUUUGUGAACCAAAAAAAAAAAAUCAUGACCAGAAAAAAAUGUGAAUUUCAUCUCAUUAUCACAAAACUAUAACAUGAUGAUGAUGAUGAUUGGGUGCCAUCCAUCCAAUGAUAACGACGACUAUGACGUUUAUUUUGUGUUUUUUUUUCUAUGAGAAAUUGUUGAUUAUUAAACUCAGCAUAAAUUCCUAGACAACCGCCACCACCACC